UACAGAGGUCUCAAGCGUUGUUCGGAUUCAUUGGGCGUAAAGGGUGCGUAGGCGGCGCGGUAAGUCGGGUGUGAAAUCUCGGGGCUUAACUCCGAAACUGCAUUCGAUACUGCCGUGCUUGAGGACUGGAGAGGAGAUUGGAAUUUACGGUGUAGCAGUGAAAUGCGUAGAUAUCGUAAGGAAGACCAGUGGCGAAGGCGAAUCUCUGGACAGUUACUGACACUGAGGCACGAAGGCCAGGGGAGCAAACAGG
rnacentral:rRNA from 1 species